rnacentral:rRNA from 1 species
GAUGAACGCUGGCGGCGUGCCUAAUACAUGCGAGUCGAGCGAACGGACGAGAAGCUUGCUUCUCUGAUGUUAGCGGCGGACGGGUGAGUAACACGUGGAUAACCUACCUAUAAGACUGGGAUAACUUCGGGAAACCGGAGCUAAUACCGGAUAAUAUUUUGAACCGCAUGGUUCAAAAGUGAAAGACGGUCUUGCUGUCACUUAUAGAUGGAUCCGCGCUGCAUUAGCUAGUUGGUAAGGUAACGGCUUACCAAGGCAACGAUGUAUAGCCGACCUGAGAGGGUGAUCGGCCACACUGGAACUGAGACACGGUCCAGACUCCUACGGGAGGCAGCAGUAGGGAAUCUUCCGCAAUGGGCGAAAGCCUGACGGAGCAACGCCGCGUGAGUGAUGAAGGUCUUCGGAUCGUAAAACUCUGUUAUUAGGGAAGAACAUAUGUGUAAGUAACUGUGCACAUCUUGACGGUACCUAAUCAGAAAGCCACGGCUAACUACGUG